rnacentral:rRNA from 1 species
AGGGCGCACGGUGGAUGCCUUGACACUAGGAGUCGAUGAAGGACGGGACUAACGCCGAUAUGCUUCGGGAGCUGUAAGUAAGCUUUGAUCCGAAGAUUUCCGAAUGGGGAAACCCACUAUACGUAAUGGUAUGGUAUCCUUAUCUGAAUACAUAGGGUAAGGAAGACAGACCCAGGGAACUGAAACAUCUAAGUACCUGGAGGAAGAGAAAGCAAAUGCGAUUUCCUGAGUAGCGGCGAGCGAAACGGAACAUAGCCCAAACCAAGAGGCUUGCCUCUUGGGGUUGUAGGACAUUCUAUACGGAGUUACAAAGGAACGAGGUAGACGAAGCGACCUGGAAAGGUCCGUCGUAGAGGGUAACAACCCCGUAGUCGAAACUUCGUUCUCUCUUGAAUGUAUCCUGAGUACGGCGGAACACGUGAAAUUCCGUCGGAAUCUGGGAGGACCAUCUCCCAAGGCUAAAUACUCCCUAGUGAUCGAUAGUGAACCAGUACCGUGAGGGAAAGGUGAAAAGCACCCCGGAAGGGGAGUGAAAGAGAUCCUGAAACCGUGUGCCUACAAAUAGUCAGAGCCCGUUAACGGGUGAUGGCGUGCCUUUUGUAGAAUGAACCGGCGAGUUACGAUCCCGUGCGAGGUUAAGCUGAAGAGGCGGAGCCGCAGCGAAAGCGAGUCUGAAUAGGGCGUUUAGUACGUGGUCGUAGACCCGAAACCAGGUGAUCUACCCAUGUCCAGGGUGAAGUUCAGGUAACACUGAAUGGAGGCCCGAACCCACGCACGUUGAAAAGUGCGGGGAUGAGGUGUGGGUAGCGGAGAAAUUCCAAUCGAACCUGGAGAUAGCUGGUUCUCCCCGAAAUAGCUUUAGGGCUAGCCUUAAGUGUAAGAGUCUUGGAGGUAGAGCACUGAUUGGACUAGGGGUCCUCAUCGGAUUACCGAAUUCAGUCAAACUCCGAAUGCCAAUGACUUAUCCUUAGGAGUCAGACUGCGAGUGAUAAGAUCCGUAGUCAAAAGGGAAACAGCCCAGACCGCCAGCUAAGGUCCCAAAGUGUGUAUUAAGUGGAAAAGGAUGUGGAGUUGCUUAGACAACUAGGAUGUUGGCUUAGAAGCAGCCACCAUUUAAAGAGUGCGUAAUAGCUCACUAGUCGAGUGACUCUGCGCCGAAAAUGUACCGGGGCUAAAUACACCACCGAAGCUGCGGAUUGAUACCAAUGGUAUCAGUGGUAGGGGAGCGUUCUAAGGACAGUGAAGUCAGACCGGAAGGACUGGUGGAGUGCUUAGAAGUGAGAAUGCCGGUAUGAGUAGCGAAAGACGGGUGAGAAUCCCGUCCACCGAAUGCCUAAGGUUUCCUGAGGAAGGCUCGUCCGCUCAGGGUUAGUCAGGACCUAAGCCGAGGCCGACAGGCGUAGGCGAUGGACAACAGGUUGAUAUUCCUGUACCACCUCUUUAUCGUUUGAGCAAUGGAGGGACGCAGAAGGAUAGAAGAAGCGUGCGAUUGGUUGUGCACGUCCAAGCAGUUAGGCUGAUAAGUAGGCAAAUCCGCUUAUCGUAAAGGCUGAGCUGUGAUGGGGAAGCUCCUUAUGGAGCGAAGUCUUUGAUUCCCCGCUGCCAAGAAAAGCUUCUAGCGAGAUAAAAGGUGCCUGUACCGCAAACCGACACAGGUAGGCGAGGAGAGAAUCCUAAGGUGUGCGAGAGAACUCUGGUUAAGGAACUCGGCAAAAUGACCCCGUAACUUCGGGAGAAGGGGUGCUUUCUUAACGGAAAGCCGCAGUGAAUAGGCCCAAGCGACUGUUUAGCAAAAACACAGCUCUCUGCGAAGCCGUAAGGCGAAGUAUAGGGGGUGACACCUGCCCGGUGCUGGAAGGUUAAGGAGAGGGGUUAGCGUAAGCGAAGCUCUGAACUAAAGCCCCAGUAAACGGCGGCCGUAACUAUAACGGUCCUAAGGUAGCGAAAUUCCUUGUCGGGUAAGUUCCGACCCGCACGAAAGGUGUAACGAUUUGGGCACUGUCUCAACCAGAGACUCGGUGAAAUUAUAGUACCUGUGAAGAUGCAGGUUACCCGCGACAGGACGGAAAGACCCCGUGGAGCUUUACUGUAGCCUGAUAUUGAAUUUUGGUACAGUUUGUACAGGAUAGGCGGGAGCCUUUGAAACCGGAGCGCUAGCUUCGGUGGAGGCGCUGGUGGGAUACCGCCCUGACUGUAUUGAAAUUCUAACCUACGGGUCUUAUCGACCCGGGAGACAGUGUCAGGUGGGCAGUUUGACUGGGGCGGUCGCCUCCUAAAGUGUAACGGAGGCGCCCAAAGGUUCCCUCAGAAUGGUUGGAAAUCAUUCGUAGAGUGCAAAGGCAUAAGGGAGCUUGACUGCGAGACCUACAAGUCGAGCAGGGACGAAAGUCGGGCUUAGUGAUCCGGUGGUUCCGCAUGGAAGGGCCAUCGCUCAACGGAUAAAAGCUACCCCGGGGAUAACAGGCUUAUCUCCCCCAAGAGUCCACAUCGACGGGGAGGUUUGGCACCUCGAUGUCGGCUCAUCGCAUCCUGGGGCUGUAGUCGGUCCCAAGGGUUGGGCUGUUCGCCCAUUAAAGCGGUACGCGAGCUGGGUUCAGAACGUCGUGAGACAGUUCGGUCCCUAUCCGUCGUGGGCGUAGGAAAUUUGAGAGGAGCUGUCCUUAGUACGAGAGGACCGGGAUGGACGCACCGCUGGUGUACCAGUUGUUCUGCCAAGGGCAUAGCUGGGUAGCUAUGUGCGGAAGGGAUAAGUGCUGAAAGCAUCUAAGCAUGAAGCCCCCCUCAAGAUGAGAUUUCCCAUAGCGUAAGCUAGU